rnacentral:rRNA from 1 species
CCUACGGGUGGCAGCAGUGAGGAAUAUUGGUCAAUGGGCGUAAGCCUGAACCAGCCAAGUCGCGUGAGGGAUUAAGGUCCUAUGUAUUGUAAACCUCUUUUAUAUGGGAAUAAAGUGCUCCACGUGUCUUGUUUUGUAUGUACCUUAUGAAUACGCAUCGGCUAACUCCGUGCCAGCAGCCUCGGUAAUACGGAGGAUACGAGCGUUAUCCGGAUUUAUUGGGUUUAAAGGGUGCGUAGGUGGACUUUGAAGUCAGUGGUGAAAGGCUGUGGCUCAACCGUAGAAUUGCCGUUGAAACUGGCAGGCUUGAGUAUAGUAGAGGCGGGCGGAAUUCGUGGUGUAGCGGUGAAAUGCUUAGAUAUCACGCAGAACUCCGAUUGCGAAGGCAGCUUACCGAACCGCGACUGACGCUGAUGCACGAAAGCGUGGGUAUCAAACAGGAUUAGAUACCCGAGUAGUC